CUAAAAACGCGGGGAUAGGCUCCAUUUAUUACUUACCAGUUUCGUGCCUUACGCCAUUCGUGUACUUUUGCGUUCGUGCAUCUAACAGCCGAACACAGAGUUCACACACACCUUUAUUUCUUGUUCGUCUAAAUUACUAUGUAUUGACCGCUCAUACUUACCCUAUGUUCGGCUGUUUGACACGUUCGUACAGCCGAACACACAUGCAAACGUUUACCUUAACUGACUGCAGAUGAUUUAUUUGUUAAUCCAUCUCACAUGUUCGGUAGCUGAACACGGGAGGUUUAAACAGGUAUUCUCUAUAAGCUAUGUGUGUAUCCCAGUAUGUAAACUGUAAUAUGACAUUUUCCUAUUUCUUAAAAGUGUAUAGUUUGUGUCUACUCCCCGUAUACAACAAAGACUGUGGGGCACCAAUUCCCAGCCCUCCGUUACAUUUAAUUAUGAACAAAUUGCC